GCCUUCGUGGUGUAAUCGCAACACACUCGAAUCUUAUUCGAGAGGUCCAGGUUUGAGUCCCGGUGAGAGCC
rnacentral:tRNA from 1 species